rnacentral:rRNA from 1 species
GUUAAGCGACUAAGCGUACACGGUGGAUGCCCUGGCAGUCAGAGGCGAUGAAGGGCGUGCUAAUCUGCGAUAAGCGCCGGUAAGGUGAUAUGAACCGUUAUAACCGGCGAUACCCGAAUGGGGAAACCCAGUGUGAUUCGUCACACUAUCAUUAACUGAAUCCAUAGGUUAAUGAGGCGAACCGGGGGAACUGAAACAUCUAAGUACCCCGAGGAAAAGAAAUCAACCGAGAUUCCCCCAGUAGCGGCGAGCGAACGGGGAGGAGCCCAGAGCCUGAAUCAGCAUGUGUGUUAGUGGAAGCGUCUGGAAAGGCGCGCGAUACAGGGUGACAGCCCCGUACACAAAAGCGCAUGUGCUGUGAGCUCGAUGAGUAGGGCGGGACACGUGGUAUCCUGUCUGAAUAUGGGGGGACCAUCCUCCAAGGCUAAAUACUCCUGACUGACCGAUAGUGAACCAGUACCGUGAGGGAAAGGCGAAAAGAACCCCGGCGAGGGGAGUGAAAAAGAACCUGAAACCGUGUACGUACAAGCAGUGGGAGCCCCACCACUAAGCCAGUGGUGAACUCCACAUACGCAUCCUUUGCUGAGGAUACGGUUAACGGAGCGAAAGCGACGUUCAACCGCAAAAGAAGCAGAGGGGGCUUAGUGGUGGGGUGACUGCGUACCUUUUGUAUAAUGGGUCAGCGACUUAUAUUCUGUAGCAAGGUUAACCGUAUAGGGGAGCCGGAGGGAAACCGAGUCUUAACCGGGCGUUA